CGAAAUCUAUUUAGGUAGAGCGUCAUCCGAAUACCCCCGGGGGUAGAGCACUGGAUGGGUAAUGGGGCCCCACAGGCUUACUGAUCCUAACCAAACUCCGAAUACCCGGGAGUACUGAUUGGCAGACACACGGCGGAUGCUAACGUCCGUCGUGGAGAGGGAAACAACCCUGACCUCCAGCUAAGGCCCCUAAUUCAUGGCUAAGUGGGAAAGCAGGUGGGACGACCAAAACAACCAGGAGGUUGGCUUAGAAGCAGCCACCCUUUAAAGAAAGCGUAAUAGCUCACUAGUCGAGUCGGCCUGCGCGGAAGAUGUAACGGGGCUCAAACCAGGAGCCGAAGCUGCGGA
rnacentral:rRNA from 14 species